CACAUACCCCAUGCUGGGGACUAUGCUGAGGGAGAACCAACACUAAUCCAAGAAGGAUCAUGUUCAGCUGACUUCUCAAAUGGAUGGGAAUGUGUGAAGCUGAUUGGCUGGAUGCAGAGAGGAGAUUCAUUUCUUUGUGGGCCAUUGGUGCCGGCGCUCCCAUCCAGCAUGCACUGAUUUCACCCAAGGGGAGAAGAAGCAGCACUAAGAAACAUGAUACAGCAGAUGGGACUUUUCAGAAAUAUCGUCAGGAUGGAUGCACCAUGGUGAUUCUGCCAGCCUGCUAAUAUUAAAGAACAGUGAUAGAAUGCUAUUAGGAAAACAGAAUCACACUUCAGCAGCCCAGCUGACCAUGGAUGUUCAGGGUUACCAAUGAGUUCCAGCAUGGAGCAUGCAGGAGAUCCUGGAUCUGAUUGCUGUGUGUAGGCAGAACUCCAAAGCAGCAGAAAAAAAGCUGAUAUCUAUGCCAGAAUCACAAAUGCAAAUGAAGAUCUCCUCUGCAAAAAGCUUCUUGUGCAGAAACCCUGCGAUGUAGACAAAGCCGUAGGUACCCAUGAGGGCUGUACUUUGCAAGCAUUCAAUCACACGUGUUUUCUAAGUGGAAGCCAAGGAACAAGAACCCCAACCCGAUCCUUGCCUUACCUGCCACCCAACCGAGCCCAGCUGCCCCAUGCUGUGCCGUGUGUACUCACCUGGUAGGCACUUAAAACGAUAACUUUGGCUUGCCACAUAACACAUGCUUUUUGGGCAGCCCGGUGUAUUGUAAAAGAGUGAACCUUCUGUGUUUCUCAAGGUAUCUUCUCUAAAGUCUAAUUCUGUAGCUUUUUCCCCCACCACAGUGACAACAAUGACUCUGUUGCCUGCUCCCUAAGAUCCCCCAGCACUUUGGUUAUCACCGAUCAGAAAGCAAAAACAUGCAUGAGAUGAAUUGUUUAAUGAGCAAAUGCAAGCCACCCACAAUGACCGAGCAGACCUGAACAAGUGGAGGAAUGAUAUUAUAGCUCAGAUGCACCAAAUAUGAGGAGCAGAAAACACAUAGGGGGUGAGAGGAGAUCUGGAGGCAAGGGAAGGUGCAAACAGGAAAAACAUUUGGAGCAGAGUCCCCCUGCACCCUGGAAUAAAUCAGCUUUCCUCUUCACCACGUUCCCUGGCCUCCUUUCUCCAGGACACCCUAGAAUUCAGAGUGGGGGAAGGGUGUCGUCAUGGGCAGUCUUUCACUCAACCCCUUUCAAUAUGCUCCAUUUAUUGCCCUGGUGUCUGACCGCUCAUAAUGAGCAGCUAGGUGAGCCCGCCCCCUCCCCUCCUGGAAAUGGCACCCUUAACCCCGCCUACACUCACCCCUACCCAGCCCUCUCCCUGAAUCCUGCACCCCCACAUCCACACUACUCAGACCCUCCCAUACCCACAGCCCCGUGUCCUGAGUCCAGAGAGGACAUUCACCUUCCACUUUAAAAGAGGUUAAAGGGGGAGUUCGAAAAAGUGUUCCAUUUCAAACCCUGCACAAAGAACAUAACGUCGCACUGUUUCACAGAUUUUUCAUAUGGAGAGUUGAUAUCCCAAGCUGUACUCCCUUAUCCUGUAACAUUCCCAGUGAAGGAAGUAA